rnacentral:rRNA from 1 species
UACGUAGGGGGCUAGCGUUGUCCGGAUUUAUUGGGCGUAAAGAGCGUGUAGGCGGCCAGGUAGGUCUGCUGUGAAAACUCGAGGCUCAACCUCGAGAUGUCGGCGGAAACCAUCUGGCUAGAGUCCGGAAGAGGAGAGUGGAAUUCCUGGUGUAGCGGUGAAAUGCGUAGAUAUCUGGGAGGAACACCGGUGGCGAAGGCGGCAUCCUGGACCGACACUGACGCUGAGGCGCGAAAGCUAGGGUAGCAAACGGG